rnacentral:rRNA from 1 species
AACAAACGCUGGCGGCGUGCAUAACACAUGCAAGUCUAACGGGAAAGUUGGCUUCGGCUGGCGAGUACCGUGGCGAACGGGUGAGUAACACGUGGGUAAUCUAACCUCGAGCUCGGGAUAACCUUGCGAAAGCGAGGCUAAUACCGGAUACGACCUUCGGAGGCAUCUCCUGGGGGUGGAAAGAAUUUCGGUCAAGGAUGGACUCGCGGCCUAUCAGCUAGUUGGUGAGGUAAUGGCUCACCAAGGCGACGACGGGUAGCCGGCCUGAGAGGGUGACCGGCCACACUGGGACUGAGACACGGCCCAGACUCCUACGGGAGGCAGCAGUGGGGAAUAUUGCACAAUGGGCGAAAGCCUGAUGCAGCAACGCCGCGUGAGGGACGACGGCCUUCGGGUUGUAAACCUCUUUUAGUAGGGAAGAAGCGAAAGUGACGGUACCUGCAGAAAUAGCACCGGCUAACUACGUGCCAGCAGCCGCGGUAAUAC